CUCCCUCGUUGCUGACCCCAGGUUCGAUAGUACCAAUUAGGCAUCACCUCGCCAAGAACCAACUUCGAUGAAGCGACGGGCGGUGUGUGCAAGG
rnacentral:rRNA from 1 species